UACGGAGGAUGCGAGCGUUAUCCGGAUUUAUUGGGUUUAAAGGGUGCGUAGGCGGGCUUUUAAGUCAGCGGUAAAAAUUCGGGGCUCAACCCCGUCCGGCCGUUGAAACUGGGGGCCUUGAGUGGGCGAGAAGAAGGCGGAAUGCGUGGUGUAGCGGUGAAAUGCAUAGAUAUCGCGCAGAACUCCGAUUGCGAAGGCAGCGUACCGGCGCCAGACUGACGCUGAGGCACGAAAGCGUGGGGAUCGAACAGG
rnacentral:rRNA from 1 species